rnacentral:rRNA from 1 species
UACGAAGGGGGCUAGCGUUGCUCGGAAUCACUGGGCGUAAAGCGCACGUAGGCGGACUCUUAAGUCAGGGGUGAAAUCCUGGAGCUCAACUCCAGAACUGCCUUUGAUACUGGGAGUCUUGAGUUCGGGAGAGGUGAGUGGAACUGCGAGUGUAGAGGUGAAAUUCGUAGAUAUUCGCAAGAACACCAGUGGCGAAGGCGACUCACUGGCCCGAUACUGACGCUGAGGCGCGAAAGCGUGGGGAGCGAACAGG